AUGCACUAUGCUGAUGGUACUCUACUCUUCCUAGACAAGAACCUAGACCAUGCUAAAAACCUUAAAUGGCUUUUAUCUUGCUUUGAGCAAAUUUCUGGCAUGAGGACUAAUUUUCAUAAAUGUGACCUUGUUCCUAUUAAUAUUGAUAGAGACGAGGCUUUAGUUUUUGCUCAAAUAUUAGGGUGUAAAAUUAGUUCUUUCCCUAUUAAGUACUUGGGUGCCCCUCUGCACUUUAGCAAGAUCAGAAGAGAGGAUCUUCGACCUACUGUUGAUAAGAUAAUCAAGAAAGCUGCUGGGUGGAGAGGGAGGCUGCUUUCCUUUGGCAAGAGACUCAUUUUAGUCCAAGCCUGCUUAGCUAGUAUCCCAACUUAUCUGAUGGGUUUCAUAAAAUUCCCUAAGUGGCUAUUAAACUCAUUAACUCCCAAUUAG
rnacentral:rRNA from 1 species